GGACUACUGGGGUAUCUAAUCCUGUUUGCUCCCCCAGCUUUCGUGCCUGAGCGUCAGGCGUCGUCCAGGGCGCUGCCUUCGCCGUCGGUGUUCCUCCGGAUCUCUACGCAUUUCACCGCUCCACCCGGAAUUCCACGCCCCUCUGCGACCCUCAAGCCCGACCGUCUGCAUGGCCCUCUCCCAGUUGAGCCAGGAGCUUUCACCACCCACCUGCCGGGCCGCCUGCGCACCCUUUACGCCCAGUAACUCCGGACAACGCUCGCCUCCUACGUAUUACCGCGGCUGCUGGCAC
rnacentral:rRNA from 1 species